rnacentral:rRNA from 1 species
AGAGUUUGAUCAUGGCUCAGAUUGAACGCUGGCGGCAGGCCUAACACAUGCAAGUCGAACGGUAACAGAAAGCAGCUUGCUGCUUUGCUGACGAGUGGCGGACGGGUGAGUAAUGUCUGGGAAACUGCCUGAUGGAGGGGGAUAACUACUGGAAACGGUAGCUAAUACCGCAUAACGUCGCAAGACCAAAGAGGGGGACCUUCGGGCCUCUUGCCAUCGGAUGUGCCCAGAUGGGAUUAGCUUGUUGGUGGGGUAACGGCUCACCAAGGCGACGAUCCCUAGCUGGUCUGAGAGGAUGACCAGCCACACUGGAACUGAGACACGGUCCAGACUCCUACGGGAGGCAGCAGUGGGGAAUAUUGCACAAUGGGCGCAAGCCUGAUGCAGCCAUGCCGCGUGUAUGAAGAAGGCCUUCGGGUUGUAAAGUACUUUCAGCGGGGAGGAAGGGAGUAAAGUUAAUACCUUUGCUCAUUGACGUUACCCGCAGAAGAAGCACCGGCUAACUCCGUGCCAGCAGCCGCGGUAAUACGGAGGGUGCAAGCGUUAAUCGGAAUUACUGGGCGUAAAGCGCACGCAGGCGGUUUGUUAAGUCAGAUGUGAAAUCCCCGGGCUCAACCUGGGAACUGCAUCUGAUACUGGCAAGCUUGAGUCUCGUAGAGGGGGGUAGAAUUCCAGGUGUAGCGGUGAAAUGCGUAGAGAUCUGGAGGAAUACCGGUGGCGAAGGCGGCCCCCUGGACGAAGACUGACGCUCAGGUGCGAAAGCGUGGGGAGCAAACAGGAUUAGAUACCCUGGUAGUCCACGCCGUAAACGAUGUCGACUUGGAGGUUGUGCCCUUGAGGCGUGGCUUCCGGAGCUAACGCGUUAAGUCGACCGCCUGGGGAGUACGGCCGCAAGGUUAAAACUCAAAUGAAUUGACGGGGGCCCGCACAAGCGGUGGAGCAUGUGGUUUAAUUCGAUGCAACGCGAAGAACCUUACCUGGUCUUGACAUCCACGGAAGUUUUCAGAGAUGAGAAUGUGCCUUCGGGAACCGUGAGACAGGUGCUGCAUGGCUGUCGUCAGCUCGUGUUGUGAAAUGUUGGGUUAAGUCCCGCAACGAGCGCAACCCUUAUCCUUUGUUGCCAGCGGUCCGGCCGGGAACUCAAAGGAGACUGCCAGUGAUAAACUGGAGAAGGUGGGGAUGACGUCAAGUCAUCAUGGCCCUUACGACCAGGGCUACACACGUGCUACAAUGGCGCAUACAAAGAGAAGCGACCUCGCGAGAGCAAGCGGACCUCAUAAAGUGCGUCGUAGUCCGGAUUGGAGUCUGCAACUCGACUCCAUGAAGUCGGAAUCGCUAGUAAUCGUGGAUCAGAAUGCCACGGUGAAUACGUUCCCGGGCCUUGUACACACCGCCCGUCACACCAUGGGAGUGGGUUGCAAAAGAAGUAGGUAGCUUAACCUUCGGGAGGGCGCUUACCACUUUGUGAUUCAUGACUGGGGUGAAGUCGUAACAAGGUAACCGUAGGGGAACCUGCGGUUGGAUCACCU